rnacentral:rRNA from 1 species
AUGGAUGACGGCGCUUCGGGAUCGGGUUCUGCCACUUCCGAUCUGGAGGCAAUGAUGGAAGAAUUGGGACUCAAUGAAGAGAAUCUUCAAGAUGUGGUGGUCGAGGAGGAUGAACUGUCGGAGGAAGCAACAAGAUGGAUGGCUCUAGCACGGGUGCACACGAACAAGGUCUAUAGCCAGUACUGGUUCUAUAGGAACAUGAGAAUUGCUUGGGACUUGGCGCAAGAGGUGAAGAUCCGACCCCUCGAAGAGAAUUUGUACACAAUGCAGUUCUCGUGCCUUGGUGACUGGGAGCGAGUAAUGCAGGAGGGGCCUUGGGAGCACAAGGGGAAAGCUGUCGUGCUUGCGCAUUAUGAUGGGUUCACCCGGCCUUCCUCGAUAGCUCUCAAUACAAUAGAUAUAUGGAUGCAGAUUCAUGACUUGCCAGACGGGUAUUUCCCAAAAAUAAAGGCUUUGGCGGCUACGGAGGGCGAGUUCAUAUACGCAGAGCCAAAAUCUCCAGACUUUGAAGGAAACUUCUGUAGGGUGCGGGUCAGAAUUGAUGUCACCAAGCCCCUUAAGAAUGUUGUAUCACUUGUGGUCAAAAGGAAGCAAGAGGUCGUCCGCGAGAUCUUCAGGGUGAAAUUUGAAAGGCUUCCGGACUGGUGCGCUGUUUGUGGCCACCUCGGUCACUUGUUCAAGGAGUGUGGGGAUGGGGUAGAGGGCCGGGAGAAGGAAGAGGAUCAGGAGGAGGAGGAGGAGGCAGGGGACGUGCCGGCAGAGGAAAGGGAGAACAACAUGAAGCGAGGGGCAGCUGACGCGAAGACCUUGAUGAAUACUUCUGCAUCUACGCAUGAGACUGAACAGACUCUCCUGCUCACGGCCCCAGCGAUCCCACAAAGCCCUUCCGCGAAGCAGGAUCUGAAAAGAAACAAGCCCACACCAUCAGCUGCGGACAAAGCGAAUGGGAAGAGUUCUACAGUUAACAAACCUACUGAUGCGCGUUUGGCGGGCCCCCCAAGUGGAUUCUUGGAAGAGCUAGCUUUGCUAGGGGAGAGCCGGCAUGUCCAACAUGUAGCGGCUCAGCCACCUCCAGCAAGAAGUGCAGCGAGACGACCACGAGCCCCACCUCCUCAAUAUAUAAAGUUCAACGUUGAUGCUGGAAUCAGGAGGGGUAGAAGAGGAUCGGCAGCCGCGGUGUGCCAUGAUAAUGAAGGAAAUUAUCUGGGUAGUUCAGCUAUUGUGAUUUCUGGAGUGGACGAUCCGGCGACAAUGGAGAUGAUUGCAUGCCGUGAGGCACUAUGUCUAGCUGAAGAUCUCCAAGUUAAUCAAUUUGUCGUUGCCAGCGACUCCAAGCAAGUGGUCCAGGACAUCAACCAGGAGCCAGUUUCACACGUGCCUUGUGAACUACCUUCAGUUCAAAGCCAAAGGCCCAUCCUUGGCAGUAAUAUAGCCAUACCAAAUUCUCCUCUUUUUCAGUCUGGGUUGUUUGCUCUGUCUGUGCGCGCUGCUCAACUCACCUAUAUGCCCCUACACCCUGAUCAGAACAUGUGCAACAGAUCAUUGGUCAAUGAUACUGAAAAUAACAAUUCAGACUUGCAGGACAUUCUAUUUCUGCUAUGA